rnacentral:lncRNA from 1 species
GUUUCAGUCAUGUCGAGAAGAAUCGUUUUUCAGCUAUGAAGAACUUCAUUCAAAGACUCAGAGCUCCAGGGCGCAAAGUUCAAACGGUGACACCUGUGCAAAAGUCAUUGGAGCCGUUCUGUCUGCAGUACACAUACCCGAAAUGUCCUCAACCAAAACAUAUUACAGGUAAGAGGAACACAUAUUUUAUAAUCAAUGUCUGAUCAUUAGAUAAACUCAGGCCAGCCACAGACUUCCUGAUUAUACAGUAGGCUGUAGUAGGUGUUAUAUGAUAAAUAAAAUGUGAUGAAUGCAAUAUGGUAAUCAGACAUUCCACAGGAAACUGAACCAGCUUAACAGUUGUUAUUUUGAACAUACAGAUAUGGACCCAGCACAAAACACAGUUGAGGACCUCAUGUUGAGGAUCGGUCAUCUUGAAACUGUUGGCAAUUCUAAAGGAGUCUGCCUCUACACAAUCGAUGGGAUGCCCUUGACAGAUGAUCCCUUCUUCAACACAUGGUCUUUGAAAGACAGACAUAUCCGGACUGGAGACGUAAUUUACGCCAUCUUUACACCGAAGGAAAACCUGAAACAGGCUCCACAGAUACCAAAACGAGAGACUGGUGAAACCUAUGGAGACAGUGUGGUUCGAUGCCAUGUCAUGCUCAAGGGAGACUUUGAGGUGACAGUGAACUUGGCAUGUGACACCAUAACCAGUCUGAGACUCAAGCUGGCAAAUGAGAGUGGAAUCCCGGCACAUGUCCUUUAUUACAAGUAA